GCCAAAGGUAGGCAUCGUUGACACUAUCUAUUUUAAGACGUUUAUUAGAUAUGUGCAUUACACCAACAGGUUGUGAUAGAGGAUAUAUGUCAUAUUUUAAUUAUUCACAUAUAAUUAUAGUACCAUUUAAAAUGAUAUCACAAAAUUCAUCUUUUAUUGAAAAAUUGAAACCAACUUUGGCCAAAAGGCCUACAGAGAUGAUAUU
rnacentral:lncRNA from 1 species